CAACCUUCUCCCGCUUCUUUAACACUAUACCACAGCCCACUCCUUAGCCUAUAAGAAAUCCAUGGCGAUAAGAAUCCUGACUGUAGCUAAAAGCCUGAUACCGCUGUAUUGGAGGAGAGAUAUUUAACUCCCUUGUGGUUUCAAUGCAAGGAGGACCUCAUUUUUGUGCCUAUGGGUGCCAUGCAACGUGUCUUGUACUGGCUAAUUGGACCAAUUUGUUCUUUUCUGC